GAUAACAAAUUUAAAGCUUAAGGUAUGAAAUUCAAUUUCUUUGACACGGGGGCAAUAAACCGUCAGAAGAAUGAAAGAAAAUUAGUAAAUUGUUUUAUGUUCGCCAACUUUAUUGGAUUAAACUGGCAAAACUGGCGCAUCGCAAAUUAAUGUUGAGCUGUCAUGAACACUGAUUUUCAAAUGUAAGUACAACUUUUCAACCAUGGCUAAUACUUUAUAAAUACACGAGCACUCGUGCA